AAUUAUUGAGAGGUUUACCUUCAGGAUUUGAAUCCAGGGCCCAAUGUGCGUUACGGUGUGCAAUGAACCACGCAAACAACGUAUGAAUAGCGCAUAUCAAAGUGAUAAAAUAAAAUGUUGUACCUAAGAGUAUCGUAUGCUGUCUCCCUCCUUCACUGUUGAUGCAUGAUCUGGUUGAUACAAGCCGGAGAUAUAUUUUCGAGUACAAUCAUGCUCUGACUGAGAAUAAAGAGCGAUUAUAAUUGGCUAUGCAGACGGUGAGUUGAAAUCAGUAUACGACAACCCAUGUGAUUGGUCAGUUUCCUACGAACGAUCGUCCAUGAAUAAUAACCUAUUUUUAGGCAAAUAGUUUGAAACAAGCGUUAGUCUUUUUCGUGAUAUUCCUGUAUCAUUGCCUCUUAGUCCAUUCAGUGUCAUUUGUCGCACAUGAUCAAGAAAAUUGAAACACGUCAGCACCGUUGAUUCUAAUGAAACUGGCUGAACCAUCAAUCUAGGACACUUUAUGAAGUGCUAAAGGACAACGUAGUGAGAAGCUAUUUAAACAACUCCCUGGUUAUAACAUGAUGGUGGUCUCCUACUUGGCCGUGUUGUUUGCAUUGCUGAUAUCGGCAACAGAUUUUGUGGAUGCUGAUAUUCGAAAUCUUGUAAAGCAUUUAAUGGAGGACGAAAAACUACCAUAUACAGCGUAUAUCAGACCAGUUAAGAACGAAAACACAACGAAAAACAUCUCAUACGACGUCGUACCGAAGAAUCUUAUAACAUUUGAUGAAGUAAAACAACAAAUCCGUUUACGUGUGUGGUUAAGGGAGGUAGGUGCCGUAGGGGCCUGACUGUACACAGCUGGCCACAGAAGACCAAAUGAAAUGUAUCUCGUCCCAUUCCUAAUCGUUUUUAGCAUUUAU